UGGGGAAUAUUGCACAAUGGGCGCAAGCCUGAUGCAGCAACGCCGCGUGAGGGACGACGGCCUUCGGGUUGUAAACCUCUUUUAGCAGGGAAGAAGCGAAAGUGACGGUACCUGCAGAAAAAGCGCCAGCUAACUACGUGCCAGCAGCCGCGGUAAUACGUAGGGCGCAAGCGUUAUCCGGAAUUAUUGGGCGUAAAGAGCUCGUAGGCGGUUUGUCGCGUCUGCUGUGAAAUCCGGAGGCUCAACCUCCGGCCUGCAGUGGGUACGGGCAGACUAGAGUGCGGUAGGGGAGAUUGGAAUUCCUGGUGUAGCGGUGGAAUGCGCAGAUAUCAGGAGGAACACCGAUGGCGAAGGCAGAUCUCUGGGCCGUAACUGACGCUGAGGAGCGAAAGGGUGGGGAGCAAACA
rnacentral:rRNA from 1 species